UUCAAUCACCGAAGUUAAGCAAGGUUGAGCCUGGUUAGUACUUAGAUGGGUGACCGCUUGGGAAUACAAGGUGCUGUUA